UACAGAGGGUGCAAGCGUUGUUCGGAAUUAUUGGGCGUAAAGGGAGUGUAGGCGGCUCGGUAAGUCCGCUCUGAGAGUCCAGGGCUCAACCCUGGGAUGCGGGUGGAUACUGCCGGGCUCGAGUCCGGAAGAGGCGAGUGGAAUUCCCGGUGUAGCGGUGAAAUGCGCAGAUAUCGGGAGGAACACCAAUGGCGAAGGCAGCUCGCUGGGACGUGACUGACGCUGAGACGCGAAAGCGUGGGGAGCAAACAGG
rnacentral:rRNA from 1 species